UUGUGGCCUUCCUUUCAAACCGUCCUUCAUUAGUCCAUCCCUCACCAUCAGCACCACCGCUCCUGUGAUAUCAAUUCAUCAUGGUUUUAAUGCAGUACCUGUCAAGGUGGUUGCAGAGGUCAAAGUAGCAAUUGACAGCUCCAGCGAAGGGACCACAUUUACUGCUUUUGGCUCGGCACAGCGGGAUGCAACAACAAACGUGAAGCAUGGCGGGAUUGUUUGCUUGUACAACAGUACUGUUGUCACAGUGUAUGCCCCCAAUACAGACUAAGGGAGCUUGUUCUAUCCCGGAAGCAUGCAAGCAUUUGACGGUCCGGAUGUCCUUGCGGACGUAAAAACAGGGUCAGUAAUUGUGAAGGCAUGGAGUGAAUUCGACUUCCCAGAGCCAGAUUUUGACGAUGACUGGAAGAGUAUUGAUGUUAAAGAUGAAGCAACGACUUUCCGACAACUAGAGCAUGGGAUCGACGGACUCCCACACCUUGUAGUGGUACAGAUCAAGGGCGAUGACUCCCCCGAUGGCUUGAUUUCGGAAGCU